ensembl:miRNA
UAUUAGGUUGGUGCAAAAGUGAUUGCGGGUUUUGCCAUUACUUUCAAUGGCAAUCACUUUUGCACCAACCUAAUAAAU